GGGAGAUAGUUCAGUGGUAGAGUGCUUGCUUAACAAAUGUGAGGUUGUAGGUUCAAUCCCUGAUGCUCACG
rnacentral:tRNA from 1 species